GAUGAACGCUGGCGGCGUGCCUAACACAUGCAAGUCGAGCGGAAAGAGGGAGUUUGCGCUUCUCUUCAGCGGAAGGCGGGCGUGUAAUGCGUAUGAAUCUGCCUUGUCUUCGGGAAUAACGUAGGUAAACGGGCCCUAAUCCCGCAUAGGAUCUUAGGUAGAAAGUGGGGGUUCUACAGCCUCCGCGGUUUUUGAUGAACCUGGGGCGGAUUAGCUAGUUGGUGGGGUAAUGGCUUACCAAGGCGACGAUCCGUAGCUGGGCUGAGAGGGUGACCAGGCACACUGGGACUGAGACACGGUCCAGACUCCUACGGGAGGCAGCAGUUGGGAAUAUUGGCAAAUGCGCGAAAGCCUGAUCAAGCAAUGCCGCGUGUGUGAAGAAGGUCUUCGGAUGGUAAAACGCUUUUAGUGGGGAAGACCGGUAGUAGGAGAAUCGAUGCCUGUUUUGACGGUACCUACAGAAUAAGCACCGGCUAACUACGUG
rnacentral:rRNA from 1 species